rnacentral:misc_RNA from 1 species
UGUAUCUACAACUUUGUUACACACACACACACACGCGCGCACCACACGCAUCUCCAUUCCCAUAUACAACUGGCUAUCGCUGGAGAAAGAAACAGGUUAACCGAAACUGUGCGAUCAUGGAAGACCGACAUAUUUGGGAUAUAAAUGGUUUAUGGUGAUAGGAUCUCCGGACACGUAACAAUGAACAGUUCCGACAUUGCUGCGUAGAUUGAGCGUCGAUGCAGCUGGCAGACUCAACCUCUUUGUGCUUUACUUUCUCAGGGGUGUCUUGUCCAUUCUGGUGUUUGACACUUGCCUGUUCACACAGUGGAUAAAUUUAUUCCAAAAUGUUCAUCAGAUUUAGAUUAGGAAUAUCGUGUAGAAUUUUUAAUGGAAUGUUUUUCACCGUGACAGGUAACUUCGUUCAACGCGAAAUUAAAAGUCUCCAAUGUCUGAUUUCGUGUCCUCCUUUUUACGCAAUGUCGUAACAAAGCCCCGUGGACUACUUCCACUUUCUGCUUCCCAAGGUCGCUCACUAAUUUACUACUCGUUCAGGAAGUAAACCAAUACCAUAAUUACGACGAAAUAUAUUGAAUAAUUAAAGGUGAAAGCUUAAAAAAAGGAAAUAAACGAGGAACUACUUUGUUUUUCGGAGGGGCGACCUGCGCCGGACACGCCUGUGCGAACAGCUGAUCACAGGAAAACAAACCAGUCGAGCAGCAGACACCAUGACGGAGCCAGUGGCUGCCACCUCCAGCGCGACAGCUGUAGCAGAAAAACGGCUUGAAGAGACUAAGGAAGACGAUGUAGCCUCCAAAAAGCCUCGCCUGGAGGCUUGUGGUCGUGAUGACAAUGAAAAUAAACUGGAGGCUCGCCUGGGGGGCAUUUUAUGUUGCGCUGUCUGUCUCGACCUGCCCCGGUCAGCCGUGUACCAGUGUUCAAAUGGACAUCUCAUGUGUGCUGGCUGCUUCACUCAUCUCCUUGCUGAUGCUCGAAUUCGGGACGAAACUGCCACUUGUCCCAACUGUCGUGUGGAAAUAUCGCGUUCCCUCGCCACCAGGAACUUGGCGGUAGAGAAGGCCGUCUCGGAGCUGCCUGCCGAGUGCCAGUUUUGUGGCCAGAAGUACCCUCGCAACUCCCUCGACCGACACGAGGUGGACCUUUGUGAGGAAAGUGGCGUAACUUUUUUUUCCAGACCUGUGCAUUGUCAGUACAGUUUACUUGGAUGUGGGUGGCGUGGACCACAUCAUGAAGUCAACAGUCAUGAGCAGCAGUGUCAGCACCCCAAUCACAGUGGAGCUCAGGUUUUUUCACAUCUUCAGAGGCAAGCAGAAAAUGUUGAAGAGGCUUCAAAGAUAUUCACUCAGAUAAUGUCUGUACUCUCAUUUGAGAAGAUUACUUUCAAUGACCUGCAGCUGAAGCCGUACCGCACGGAUGAGUUUAUCCACAAGUUGUUCUACGAGACGAGUCGAUUCUCAGCCCUGAGUUAUCAGUGGGUGAUCAAAGCACGACUCAAUGACAACCAGAAGGAUCCCCACCUCACCUGUAACCGCUUCAUUACCUACCAGCUCAUUGUAAAGAGCAAGCCAAGCAGCCCCAUGGUGGUGCACUUCAUGAUCCUGAGAGGCCCUUUUGGUGACAUGCGAGUCAACCCUCACAUCUGCCAGUUUGAGUUCACAGAAAGCAACACAGAGAGUCCCUUCUUUGCGCUGCCGCUGCCGGACAGUGCAGAGUGCAACAAGCUCUUGGCUGCUCGCAUCAUUGACUUCAGAUUGAUGAUGGGAAUGGUCACCAAGUAAUGGAAUACACCAUUGGACUCCCACUUGUAAAUUCAUGUUCUUGGGUGCCACUGUGGAGAUGGCAUUAGCACUCUGGCAGCAGGAAAUGUGUGGUGGAAACCUGAGGUCGUGUUUGCUGCUCAUCUUCUGCUGAAAAAGGAGUGGCAGGUUGUGCAACACUGCUUUCUGCUCCCUCUUGGCUAGAGUACUGCAUAGGAGGCACUCAGACCUGAAGUGUUGUAAGUAACUCAUUGUUAUAAACAUAACCAUCUAUUUUUAAGAGCAUUGUGAUAUUUGGUUGAGGUCUGAGGACAGUGGACCUUUGACUGGUUGCCUCCUUGGUGCAGCUUGACAUGGGAGUGGUGGUCUUGGCAUUUCAUAACAUUACAUUAUUAUACAUUUCUAUUACAUUAUUAUUACAUUUCUAGGCACCACUUCAAGUGCUUAUAGGCCUUUAUAAUGGUGAUGCAGCAAGCUUAGUGCACUUAAUUCUUUGAAUAGUGUGACACACAGCAUAACGGAGAUCUUUUACUUUGGCCAAGGAAAAAAUUAAAAGCAUCUGGGAGUUGCCUGGACACAAUGAGUCAAACUUAUGCAUGUACAUCUUGUUUGCAGCACUGUAUAGAGUUUGUGCUUUACAAUAACCAUGUACAGAACAAAUGCUGCUGUGAGCACAUCAUGUUAUGCACUUACAUAUACUAUUGUGCAUUGUUGUCAAGAGUGAAUACAAUACAUAAUCAUAU